AGUGAACGCUGGCGGCAGGCCUAAUACAUGCAAGUCGAACGGCAGCACAGCAGAGCUUGCUCUGUGGGUGGCGAGUGGCGGACGGGUGAGGAAUACAUGGGAAUCUGCCCAGUCGUGGGGGAUAACGUAUGGAAACGUACGCUAAUACCGCAUGCGCCCUACGGGGGAAAGUCGGGGACCGCAAGGCCUGACGCGAUUGGAUGAGCCCAUGUUCGAUUAGCUAGUUGGCGGGGUAAAGGCCCACCAAGGCGACGAUCGAUAGCUGGUCUGAGAGGAUGAUCAGCCACACUGGAACUGAGACACGGUCCAGACUCCUACGGGAGGCAGCAGUAGGGAAUAUUGGACAAUGGGGGCAACCCUGAUCCAGCCAUGCCGCGUGAGUGAAGAAGGCCCUCGGGUUGUAAAGCUCUUUUGUCCGGAAAGAAAAGCAAUCGGUUAAUACCCGGUUGUUCUGACGGUACCGGAAGAAUAAGCACCGGCUAACUUCGUGCCAGC
rnacentral:rRNA from 1 species